UCCCGUAAUAUCAAGAAAUGGGAAUCACUCUUCUUUUCCUAGAUGAAAAGAGAUCUGUGAUCCACUGAUCCAUCGUUACGGACGGAUGGAUCACUACCGUCCCGGUUCCAUCGUCAAAGUUGAUAGGUUUUGAAGUUGAAAGAUGUUUAUCUGUUUAUAGCCUCUUACAAAGACUGGCCGUUGUCUUAUACGUCGGAUGCAGUAGGAAGUUGGACAAAUUUGGCACUUCUCUCUCUUGUAACAAAUAUGUUUCUCCCAACAUUACAGAUGUGAUCAAGUACAAAGGUAACAUCCUCACCCAUAAAAUAGGGAAACACGUUAUUCUUGGAUAUAUAUUAACACUUUUCAAACUUUUUUAAAAGUACCAUGUUGAACUAUACUUGCAACUACGGCAACGAUAGUGACAUAUGUGGUCUUCAACAGGGAGAUGACCAAGCUCACUAAGCAAGAUGCUUCUGCUCUGGCUCUUGAGGGAGUUCAUCUUUUGGUUUUACACUUCAUUUAACCCAUGUUUAGAACUGUAACAAGCACUAAUUGUUUCACAAACGUACUAUAGAUAAAUGGCGGUGGUGGGCAAGAACUACCAAGAUGUCUUUAAAAGCUUGCUGGCAAAGAAUACUUUUCUCAGAUAUGUGCCACUCCAUACAAUUUUGUCCCAAACUACCGUGUCUGGGUCUGCAGUCAGUGACACAGAGAGUACCAGCAGCUUCAAAGCUCCAAUUAUUGGAGGGAAAGGUCGAGAAGCUACAGCUUCUGCAACCAACACGGUUCCAGCGGCGAAGAUAGAAAUCAGAGGCGAUGAAGCAAAUCCGGCAGGUUUUGAAGGCAAAUAUAAUAGCCGCAAACAACCCUAAGUGAUACUUCAGCAAUGUCCCAUAUAUAAAGGCAGCGUUGACAGGAUGUUCAAAACUAAAUGCAUCAUUUCAUGUUUACAUAGAAACAUUGAACUCGCGUAUACAUGCAUUUUGGCUAACUUAUUAUAAAUGUAAGUAAACUAUUUAGUUUUAAAUGAAUAUUAGAUCUUGACCCGCACAAUCGCGCGGAUAUUUGUUUUCAUUUUUAUCAUUAAUAUCAUAUAUUCUUAAUAUUCACUAUGUUUUAAAUAUUUAUAUAAUUUUCUCAAAUACAAUAAUGUUUUAAUUUGCAUAUUUGUCAUUCUAUCAAUUGUUUCAAACCAAUCAAAUUAAUAUGAUUUUUCCUAUUAUUAGUCAUCUUCUCUCGUCUUUCUUUUUGAUCUCUAAUCUAACGAUCGAUUCUCCAACCCUAAAAAAUAGAAGCAAUACUGUGAAGAUGAUUACUUAGUUCUGAACAUAGAACGAUUUUAUGUCUGUCGGUAAUCCCUAUGGACGUGAGUUAAUACUCUUAUGGUAUUCAGUCAUGUGUUUGACUUAUUAACUCACGUAUUACAAAGCAAGAAGAACUAUACACAAUAAAUGUAUAGCUUUAUAGAUGAACUGUUUAUAGAUGAACUAUAAAUGAAAUAACACAAUUGUUAAUCGUAUAUUAAUACCAUCAUAAUCUCAUUCCUAUCAUUGUACAAUAGUUUAGAUGUUUUAUUCAAACAAAAGUUAGUUAUAAAUAGAAGGGAAACGAUAUAGAGCUAUAUAUAUUGUUAAGAUUUUAUUAUGUAAAUACACAAAUAUAAUGUAAAACAAUUUUUUAAAGAGAUCCAUUUUAAAAUAUCACACAUGAAAGAAAUCAUGAUUUCUAUUUUAAUAGAUAAGAUUAUUAAUAAGGGUCCAUGUAACCCACUGAACCUUAAAAUUCAUUUGGUACUAAAGAUCCUCUACAACCAAGUGACAUCAGAGCCUAUAUAUUAUAAUAGGAGAGUUUUUGCUCUCUUCUAAAUCUAUCCACGUCAGCAGUUUUUUUUUGUGUGGGCUCCAUUAAGACAAUAAAUAUUACGUAACCAACGUUCUUUUUGUCCACGUAAUUUUUUGUCUUUUGGUUUCGAUAUAUCAUUUCUCAUUUGGUUUGGUUAUCUUAAUAUAUAUAUACCAUAUGAUACAAAACCAUAAACGAACCCAAUAAAUUUUGAAGCCCAUUGGCUAGCCUGCUUAGUAAUGAUGUUGUCGUUUGAAGUUUGAACCCCAAAGAAAUCUAAACUUUGUGUAUAAUGUGUUACUUAAUUAGGUUGAAAAUCGUCUCCAUCUUCCACGAUACAACGUAGCCGUCUCCGCCGUUGUUAAAAAAAACUUCUUUGUCAACUUUUGACCUCUCAUAUCUCUUCAACUUCGUUUCUUGCGCACCCUUCGUUCAAUGUUUCUUUCCUAAUAUAUACAAUGGAUCUUCAGUUGACAUUGAAAUCAUUAAAGCUCACCAACUCUCCGUCUCCCUACAUUUACAAUAGAAGCUUUAUGCGUGUUAAAACCGGUAAACACCUCAAACCCUAUAAAUAGGAGAGGCUAGGGUCUGGAAUCACACCCCCACAAACUCUUUUUCUCAGUUUAUCUUCACUCGAAAACCUAGAAGCUU